GCCUAACGGCUGAACUGGCAACUUGGAGAAGUGGCAAGUCUUCCAGUAUGGGGAGCAAAACAGCUAUGGGUCAAGUCCGAUAUCUUUAGGAGGCGCGAAGCUCCUCUUAUUGUGAGGGCGAGUUUUAUAACACCAUAGGACUGGNCNNCCCAUAUGAAAAGAUUAUAUUAGAAUUGAAUGAAGCUUUGUUUAUAUAUUGAUAAUGACAGUAUAUAUAUCGUGUCUUGACUAAUUGCGUGCCAGCAGUCGCGGUAAUACGUAAGAGACUAGUGUUAUUCAUCUUAAUUAGGUUUAAAGGGUACCCAGACGGUCAAUAUAGCUUAUAAAAUGUUAGUACUUGACUAGAGUUUUAUGUAAGAGGGCAGUACUUGAGGAGGAGAGAUGAAAUUUCGUGAUACCAAAGGGACUCGGUAAAGGCGAAGGCAGCCCUCUAGGUAAAAACUGACGUUGAAGGACGAAGGCACAGAGAACAAACAGGAUUAGAUACCCAAGUAGUCUUUGCAGUAAAUGAUGAAUGCCAUAGGUUAGAUCUGAGUUGGUAGUCUAGUUGAGUUAGUUUACUAAACUAAUGAUCUAUACAAGCCAGCCUUAGAUUUGGUCUAUAAAUGAAAGUGUAAGCAUUUCACCUCAAGAGUAAUGUGGCAACGCAGGAACUGAAAUCACUAGACCGUUUCUGACACCAGUAGUGAAG
rnacentral:rRNA from 1 species